GGGGCAACCUGGCGGCGAGCGGCGAACGGGUGAGUAAUGCAUCGGAACAUGUCCAUUCGUGGGGGAUAGCCCGGCGAAAGCCGGAUUAAUACCGCAUACGCCCGAGAGGGGAAAGUGGGGGACCGCAAGGCCUCACGCGAUUGGGUUGGCCGAUGUCCGAUUAGCUAGUUGGUGGGGUAAGAGCCCACCAAGGCGAUGAUCGGUAGCUGGUCUGAGAGGAUGAUCAGCCACACUGGGACUGAGACACGGCCCAGACUCCUACGGGAGGCAGCAGUGGGGAAUUUUGGACAAUGGGGGCAACCCUGAUCCAGCCAUUCCGCGUGAGUGAAGAAGGCCUUCGGGUUGUAAAGCUCUUUUGUCCGGAACGAAACGGGUAAGGCUAAUACUCUUGCCUACUGACGGUACCGGAAGAAUAAGCACCGGCUAACUACGUGCCAGCAGCCGCGGUAAUACGUAGGGUGCGAGCGUUAAUCGGAAUUACUGGGCGUAAAGCGUGCGCAGGCGGUUUUGUAAGCCAGAUGUGAAAUCCCCGGGCUCAACCUGGGAAUGGCAUUUGGGACUGCAAGGCUGGAGUGCGGCAGAGGAGACUGGAAUUCCUGGUGUAGCAGUGAAAUGCGUAGAUAUCAGGAGGAAUACCGAUGGCGAAGGCAGGUCUCUGGGCUGACACUGACGCUCAUGCACGAAAGCGUGGGGAGCAAACAGGAUUAGAUACCCUGGUAGUCCACGCCCUAAACGAUGUCGACUGGUUGUUGGGGGUUUGACACUCUCAGUAACGAAGCUAACGCGUGAAGUCGACCGCCUGGGGAGUA
rnacentral:rRNA from 1 species